UCUGCACACACCAAGUCCUGACUCAAUCAAAUUUCAGAAACAAGCUGCAGGUGGUUUCACCUCUGUGCGGAGAUCAGAGCUGCUGCCCCUGUCUGCCCUCUAGUGGAAAUAACAGACUGAUGCAGGGACACACUGCUCCAACAGCUACACUACAGGGAGAAGUGGAUUACUUGGCUGUCACUCCUUGAUGACUUCAUCUAUGCCCACAGCCCCCUUGAAAUGUCACCACCCUUCAGUGACACCCGCCGUUUGCUUCCCCGCGUGUCAUCAUCAGUCAGAGCAGCACAGUAUGCUCAGCGUGUCAUCAGUCAGUGCCUGCAUGCUGCUGUGGUUUAAAAACUCUCAUGUUCUGUGGCCUCUGCUGCAGAGACGCUGAUUGGAAAUGCUUCUCUGUGGUUUCUAAACAGACAAACAACGACUGCACUCUAAGACUUUAAGCUGUGUGUCUUCAUCAUAUUAUUCUUUGAAAGCAGAACACAGACCAAACCACUGCUGCUGCCCACAGAAACAUUUCAAUGAGAUCAGGUUGCUUCAAGUAGAAACGGUGCUAAAGAAAGUCUCCAAACAGUCAGGGGAAGUUUGCUUUGCGAGAACAUCACAUGCCAAGAGAAACUGAAAUAAAGAAAGAGCAAAAAAACUAAA